GUUACAACCUGCGUAAGUUUACAAAGGCUGCGCUGGUAAAUUCAGGCGGCCGGGGGCGGGCCCGCUGCGCUCUCCGGGCCUCCUCCCGCCGCGUCUCCGGCUGCAGCCGCAAACCCAGGCCCCGUGGAGAAAGCGAUCCAGAACCGCAGUUGCCCGCUGCUCCUUCUGUCUCGGAUUUGCGCACACAGACAGCCCCUCCCCCACGUGUUGGCGACUGUUCAUCAUUCUUCUCUUCCAACAAUCAGUCUCAUCUCGAUUCGGAUCCACUGAGAACCAGUCCCCUACAAAAAAACUCCUCGCGCAGCCCAGCGAAGAGCUCUGCGGGACUCCGCAGCGCCCAAACUCAGUUCGGGCCCGGAGAGAUUCUCUCCUACUGUGGGGUUUUCAAUCAAUUCUCAUCUGUCGCUGGGGCAUAGGAGAGGUGCGAGGUUUGGGGAGAGCUAAAGGAGAAUGUGCUCUGAGGUUCCUGCCUUACUGAAGGCUAGUUCUGGCCGGGCUUUUGACUACUCGGUCUAUGUGGACAGCUACACAGCAUUCAAGGGCACUUCUACUUUUGGACCUCAGAGCAAAUGAGAAGGCGAAAGUUCGGACUUGAAGACCCGUCUGUACAGUUAGGCGAGCAAGGACCAUACUUGGAGAACCAUGCUAUAGAACAUCAGAGAGAGAAGACAGUGGGAUCAUUUGGGGAUGGAAGAGAGAGAGUUUUCUAAAGGAAGAAUUGCUGGAAAGAACAACAACAACAAAGGGCCCACUCUACCACUCUACUCACUGGUUAAGACUUCAUCGCCUCCUGAUGCAGAAGCAACAGAACAGAUUUUUCUUCAGUAUUUGAAGCUGAAGAGCUUUUGUCAAGAUAUGCAACCUCUUUGAACUUCUGUUUCCUGUUCUGUAUAAAUAGGAGUAAUAAUAAAGCCAACUUCUGUGCAUUGCUCUUAGGAGUUAAUGAAAUAACAUACCAAUGGUAUAGCAGCAUUCACCUCAGUGUUUCGUCCUCAAAUAAAUGAUUAUUGACUCAGAGCAUACAUAUUAUUUAUCCAAAGGCAAAUAGCCUGUACGCCUGUACGUAAAUUAAUGUAUCCGGCAAUAAUAAAAACUGCCUGUACGAA
rnacentral:lncRNA from 1 species